rnacentral:lncRNA from 1 species
CGGGCCGCUGACGAAGAGCCGAUCUUUGGCUUUUGCCGUGUUCGGUAAUCGGAAGAAGGAAGAAGACAAGGCCAAGGAGCAAGAAGAGAAGGAGAAAGAGAAGGAUAAGAAGAAGAAUAAAAGAAAGUUUUGGUCUAGGUGGUUUGGUGCUUCCUGGAGGUCAAGGGAGGAUGGUGGUGUUUCAUUGCACUCCAGGACCAUCAAGGAUAAGUCCUUCUCAUUCGUGUGACAGGCUUUUCUUGUACUUUGUUAGGUUUUCAAUUUUAUUUUUAAUUUUUUCAUUUGAUAACAUAACACUGGCCUCCAUUAGUGUAUAGAUCAAGGAA